GUGGUACAGCCGAGCCCCCAAACCCUGCAGCCUCACUCGCCGGUGAGAUAAUCUGUGGUUGUGGAGAUGGUUUUUGUUGGUGGGUGUUACUUGAGCGCAUGGAGCAGCCUUUCUGAUGGAGCUUUUAAUUCGGGGCGAAAUUUCUGGAAACCCAUCCUCUACCGUCUCAAUCACUCCAAAGUUCGAGGGUCUCUGAAGCGUUGAGAAAAAGCACAAAAUCAACAGGCACAUCCAAGAGAUGGAAGGAAAAAGCUUAUGCUGAAGGAGGGACCAGAUUUGCAUCAAUUGUCAGGAGAGCUAAACCCCAGAAUGAGGUGGCUGAGGACGCAUCAGAACAAAUGCUCAGAGAGCGGACAUGCUGUUUCAGAGGCUGAGUUCUCGUGACAGGACAGAAGGAAGAGAAGCUUCGCCUGUGGUGUCCCGUUGGUUGGAGAUGCUGACACUCGCUUCCUCCCACACACGUUUCUGUUGUUGCUGGGUGGUGAGAUGGUGCAGCAGGAGGACAGUCCUCAGCAUACAGCCGUACACUCCGCCGUUUCAGAGGCUGAGCCUUCAGAACCGUGAGCCAGACGAACCUCUCCUUCAGAAAUGGCCCAUGUCAGGCAUCUCAUUAGAGCGGCACAAAAAGAUUACUGAUAACAGACAUCAUGUGGUUCUAGAUACCUUCUUCGAUGACAAGUGUUAUUGUCAACUUGGCCGAAUCUAGGAUCACCUGGGAGACAGGCUCCUGGCCAUGCUUGUGAGGGACUAUCUUGAGUGUCUUAACUGAUGUGGAAAGACAUAUAGCUUGACUGGGAGUGGUCAGGGGAUCCUGAACUGUGUAAAGCUGAGAAAACCAGCCGAUCAUUCGCUAGCAUUCACCCCUCUCUCCUUCCUGACUGUUGAUACAGUGUGACCAAAGGCUUCAAGCUCCUUGACUUCCUCACCAUGGUGUACAAGGGACAGUGGUACCUUGAACUGCUGAGCAGGAAUAAACCCUUCUCCAUUAAGUCGCUCUGUCAGGACAUUCUGUUAUGACAAGGGCAGAGAGAAGCUAAGACAGCAUCUGUCGUGGUUUCCAUUUCAUUUGAGCGUUUUUUUAGUACCUGGAUCUUAGAGAUUUCAGGUUUCUUCCAUCUCCCUGCUGUGGCUUUGAUAGAGGAUGGAAUUGUUGCUUGGGGUUUCCUUGAAGUUUGCUGAGAUUCCUUAAAACAGCUACUGUACAUUCUCUAUCUGAGGGGGUGGAGAGAUGGCUCAACCUUUAACAGCAGUGGCUGCUCUUCUAGAGGUCCUGAGUUCAAUUCCCAGCACCCACAUGGUGGCUCACAACUGUCUAUAACUGUAGUCCUGUGGGAUCUGAUGCCCUCUUCUGGUGUGCAGAGGUACAUGGAGACAAAACAUUCAUAAAAUAAAUGAAUCUUAACAACAAAAACUGCUGCCUGAGAUUUCAGGUGUCAGUUUCUUAGUGGCCA